rnacentral:rRNA from 1 species
AACGAACGCUGGCGGCAGGCUUAACACAUGCAAGUUGAACGGGAUUUGUGUGGUGCUUGCACCAUAUAAUGAGAGUAGCGCACUGGUGAGUAACACGUGGGAACGUGCCUUUUAGUGGGGGAUAACAUCUGGAAACGGAUGCUAAUACCGCAUACGCCCUGAGGGGGAAAGAUUUAUUGCUAAGAGGUCGGCCCGCGGUAGAUUAGGCAGUUGGUGGGGUAAAGGCCUACCAAACCUACGAUCUAUAGCUGGUCUGAGAGGACGAUCAGCCACAUUGGAACUGAGACACGGUCCAGACUCCUACGGGAGGCAGCAGUGAGGAAUAUUGGGCAAUGGAGGCAACUCUGACCCAGCCAUGCCGCGUGAGUGAGAAGGUUUUCGAAUUGUAAAGCUCUUUCGGGUGUGAAGAUGAUGACGGUAACACCAGAAGAAGCCCCCGGCAAAACUUCGUG